GCCUGGGUGGCUCAGUGGGUUGAGCGACUGCCUUCGGCUCAGGUCAUGAUGCCUGGGUUCGAGUCCCGCAUCAGGCU
rnacentral:tRNA from 1 species